UACGGGGGGGGCAAGCGUUGUUCGGAAUUACUGGGCGUAAAGGGCUCGUAGGUGGCCAACUAAGUCAGACGUGAAAUCCCUCGGCUUAACCGGGGAACUGCGUCUGAUACUGGAUGGCUUGAGUUCGGGAGAGGGAUGCGGAAUUCCAGGUGUAGCGGUGAAAUGCGUAGAUAUCUGGAGGAACACCGGUGGCGAAGGCGGCAUCCUGGACCGACACUGACACUGAGGAGCGAAAGCGUGGGGAGCAAACAGG
rnacentral:rRNA from 1 species